AGAGAAUUAGUUAAAGCAAUAAUAUCAGGUUGUCAAGCUGAAGUUGCUGUGGUUACCAGCAUUCUCGG
rnacentral:tRNA from 1 species